ACUUUCGUGGUGUAACGGUUAGCGCACUCGGCGCGUAUUCGAGAGGUCCAGGUUCGAGUCCCAGCGAAGGCA
rnacentral:tRNA from 1 species